rnacentral:rRNA from 1 species
GAUGAACGCUGGCGGCGUGCUUAACACAUGCAAGUCGAACGGAAAGGCCCAAGCUUGCUUGGGUACUCGAGUGGCGAACGGGUGAGUAACACGUGGGUGAUCUGCCCUGCACUUCGGGAUAAGCCUGGGAAACUGGGUCUAAUACCGGAUAGGACGAUGGUUUGGAUGCCAUUGUGGAAAGUUUUUUCGGUGUGGGAUGAGCUCGCGGCCUAUCAGCUUGUUGGUGGGGUAAUGGCCUACCAAGGCGUCGACGGGUAGCCGGCCUGAGAGGGUGUACGGCCACAUUGGGACUGAGAUACGGGCCAGACUCCUACGGGAGGCAGCAGUGGGGAAUAUUGCACAAUGGGCGCAAGCCUGAUGCAGCGACGCCGCGUGGGGGAUGACGGCCUUCGGGUUGUAAACUCCUUUGGCUAGGGACGAAGCGUUUUUGUGACGGUACCUGGAGAAGAAGCACCGGCUAACUACGUG